AAGACCUUGCGCUUUUGGAGCGGCCGAUGCCUGAUUAGCUAGUUGGUGGGGUAAUGGCCUACCAAAGCUUCGAUCAGUAGCUGGUCUGAGAGGACGGCCAGCCACACUGGGACUGAGACACGGCCCAGACUCCUACGGGAGGCAGCAGUGGGGAAUUUUGGACGAUGGGCGCAAGCCUGAUCCAGCCAUGCCGCGUGAGUGAAGAAGGCCUUCGGGUUGUAAAGCUCUUUCAGCCGGGAAGAAAAGGUUGCGAUUAAUAAUCGCAAUUUAUGACGGUACCGGAAGAAGAAGCACCGGCUAACUACGUGCCAGCAGCCGCGGUAAUACGUAGGGUGCGAGCGUUAAUCGGAAUUACUGGGCGUAAAGCGUGCGCAGGUGGUUUUGUAAGUCAGAUGUGAAAUCCCCGGGCUUAACCUGGGAACU
rnacentral:rRNA from 1 species